GAGAACUAAAGUCACUUGUGCAAGAUAGAACUUCCAGGGCUGGAGGUCCUGAAAGGGUGGCACUUUCUAGGCUGCGAAACAGGAUGACACACAGGCUUGGAGACGGGAAGAGACUCAUCUGAGUCAUGGCGUAGUGGAGCUGCAAUUUGAAGCUGAGCCUGUUGGACUCUGAAGUUCCUGCUGUCCCUGUUCACCCUUUACUGUGCCUCGGCUGAUGCUUUCUGAGCCUGUUUGCCCAUCUGUGAAAUGGACUGCUGACGCGGGGCAAAAUCAUCUCAGGGACUGCCUUGGACCUUGGAAUUAUGGAUUGAAAUUUUUUUAAAAAUUUA